rnacentral:lncRNA from 13 species
CUGUAAUAGGAUUCUUGGUGUUUUCAGUGAGCUUGAGUUUCUAGGCUAUGACAUUCAGAAAUGUUUCUCAGCUUCAUCUUUUUUAUAAUUUUUUUCCACUUAAGUGAGCUUGACGUGGCUGUCCUUCCCUUAAGUGAGCUUGAUGUGUCUGUCCUUCCUCCUUCCCUCAGAUUGAAUAAGGCUCUGGAACCUCCAUUUGGGACUUCCACCAAAUAUGGCUGAAUAGGAACAGCUCUGGUCUUCAGUUCUCAGCCAGAAUGAGCCAGAAGGUGAGUGAUUUCUGCAUAUCAAACUGAGGUACCAGGUUCAUCUCAUUGGGACUGGUUAGACAGUGGGUGCAGACCAAGGAGGGCAAAUGAAACUGUGCUCCUGGUGCUUCACCCCAGAAGCACAAGGAGCCAGAGAACUCUCUCCUAGCCAAAGGAAGCCAUUAGGGACUUUUCCAGACACUCUGGCUCAAAUACUGUGCUUUCCUCAUG